rnacentral:rRNA from 1 species
UGGGGUAACGGCUCACCAAGGCGACGAUACAUAGCCGACCUGAGAGGGUGAUCGGCCACACUGGGACUGAGACACGGCCCAGACUCCUACGGGAGGCAGCAGUAGGGAAUCUUCGGCAAUGGACGGAAGUCUGACCGAGCAACGCCGCGUGAGUGAAGAAGGUUUUCGGAUCGUAAAGCUCUGUUGUAAGAGAAGAACGAGUGUGAGAGUGGAAAGUUCACACUGUGACGGUAUCUUACCAGAAAGGGACGGCUAACUACGUGCCAGCAGCCGCGGUAAUACGUAGGUCCCGAGCGUUGUCCGGAUUUAUUGGGCGUAAAGCGAGCGCAGGCGGUUAGAUAAGUCUGAAGUUAAAGGCUGUGGCUUAACCAUAGUACGCUUUGGAAACUGUUUAACUUGAGUGCAAGAGGGGAGAGUGGAAUUCCAUGUGUAGCGGUGAAAUGCGUAGAUAUAUGGAGG